GGUGGGUAUAGCUCAGUGGUAGAGUGUGUGCUUAGCAUGCACGAGGUUCUGGGUUCAAUCCCCAGUACCUCCA
rnacentral:tRNA from 1 species